rnacentral:rRNA from 1 species
AUUGAACGCUGGCGGCAGGCCUAACACAUGCAAGUCGAGCGGAUGAAGGGAGCUUGCUCCUGGAUUCAGCGGCGGACGGGUGAGUAAUGCCUAGGAAUCUGCCUGGUCGUGGGGGAUAACGUCCGGAAACGGGCGCUAGUACCGCAUACGUCCUGAGGGAGAAAGUGGGGGAUCUUCGGACCUCACGCCAUCAGAUGAGCCUAGGUCGGAUUAGCUAGUUGGUGGGGUAAAGGCCUACCAAGGCGACGAUCCGUAACUGGUCUGAGAGGAUGAUCAGUCACACUGGAACUGAGACACGGUCCAGACUCCUACGGGAGGCAGCAGUGGGGAAUAUUGGACAAUGGGCGAAAGCCUGAUCCAGCCAUGCCGCGUGUGUGAAGAAGGUCUUCGGAUUGUAAAGCACUUUAAGUUGGGAGGAAGGGCAGUAAGUUAAUACCUUGCUGUUUUGACGUUACCAACAGAAUAAGCACCGGCUAACUUCGUG